GACGAACGCUGGCGGCGUGCUUAACACAUGCAAGUCGAACGAGAAAGCCCUUCGGGGUAAGUACAGUGGCGAACGGGUGAGUAACACGUGGGCAACCUGCCCCAGAGAGCGGGACAACCCGGGGAAACCCGGGCUAAUACCGCAUGAUGCGUCUCCACUUAAGUGGAGCCGCCAAAUCGUAGCUUCGGCCUCCGCUCUGGGAUGGGCCCUCGCCGGAUGAGCUAGUUGGUUGGGGUAACGGCCCACCAAGGCGACGAUCCGUAGCGGGUCUGAGAGGACGAUCAGCCACACUGGGACUGAGACACGGCCCAGACUCCUACGGGAGGCAGCAGUGGGGAAUCUUGCGCAAUGGGCGAAAGCCUGACGCAGCAACGCCGCGUGGGGGAAGAAGGCCUUCGGGUUGUAAACCUCUUUCAGUAGGGACGAAGCUUCCGGGGUUAAUAGCCUACGGGGUGACGGUACCUACAGAAGAAGCCCCGGCUAACUACGUGCCAGCCGCCGCAGUAA
rnacentral:rRNA from 1 species